GUUUAGUCACAUUCUAGAAUACAAGAUCAAAACACAAAAAUAUGUCAUAUUUCUAAAUACUAGUAUUGAAGAAUUGAAAACAAAAAAGGUACCACAUACAAGAAUUUCCCUCAAAAGGAAAUAUCUUGGUAUAAUAACUACAUAUACAUAGAAUCUAUCUUCUGAAACUGAAAUGCUGAUGAAAGAAAUCAAAGAACACCUAAAUAUAUGUAAAGUCAUACCAUGCUCAUGGAUUGGAAGAUUCAACAUAGUAAGCUGCCAUGUGAAGAAGCCCGUGGGGCAAAGAACUGAGUGUGGCCACUGGCCAACAUCCAACAAGUUGCUGCAGCCUAACAGCCCACAUGGAAAUGAAUCCUGCCAACAACCACAUGAACUUGGAAAUGGAUCCUUACCCAGUUGAGCCUCGUAUGAGCCACAGCCCUGAAAAGACCUUGAUUGCAGCCUCUUGAGAGACCAUGAAACAAAGGACCCAGCUAAACACUGCCCAAAUUCCUGACCUGCAUCAACUGUGUGAUAAUAAAUAUGUGUUGUUUUAACCCUCUA